rnacentral:lncRNA from 1 species
AAAGGUGCUGCACACAGGGCCAUGCCCAACCAGCAGGCUCUCAGAGGACUCUUGAGGUGGAAAUGAAAACAGAUGGGACAGAGCUGCUGAUGGCAUUCUAAGACAGAGUAGAAGUAAAACGAAGAAAGAUGGGGCUUCUGGGUCCCACUCUGUGGCCUAAGCUGGAGUGCAGUGGCAGUAUCAGGGCCCGCUACAUCCUUGACCUCCUGGGCUCAAACAAUCUCUCAUCUCAGCCUCCCAAGUAGCUGGCACUAUAGGAAUGAGGCCAACGGCAAGAUCUGGAGAUGGAAGAAGCUCCUGAAGAUGUUGAAACCCCUGGUCCCAGCUGUUCUGUGGGCCAGCUGGAUUCCUGCCCUUCUAUAGCUGUAUUGCUCAAUCCUUUCCUGGGAUCUGGGAGAAAAUAAAUUUCAUUUUUGGCCCA